GCCGGGCAUGGUGGCGCAUGCCUGUAGUCCCAGCUAUUCGGGAGGCUGAGGCUGGAGGAUCUCCUGAGUCCAGGAGUUCUGGGCUGUAGGGCGCUAUGCCGAUCGGGUGUCCGCACUAAGUUCGGCAUCAAUAUGGUGACCUCCUGGGAGUGGGGGACCACCAGGUUGCCUAAGGAAGGGUGAACUGACCCAGGUCAGAAACGGAGCAGGUGGAAACUCCCGUGCUGAUCGGUAGUGGGAUCGCGCCUGUGAAUAGCCACUGACUCCAGCCUGGGCAACAUAGCGAGACCCUGUCUCU
rnacentral:SRP_RNA from 1 species